CACGUAGGGCGCAAGCGUUGUCCGGAAUUAUUGGGCGUAAAGGGCUCGUAGGCGGUCUGUUGCGUCUGCUGUGAAAACCCGGGGCUUAACCCCUGGCUUGCAGUGGAUACGGACAGACUAGAGGUAGGUAGGGGAGAAUGGAAUUCCCGGUGUAGCGGUGAAAUGCGCAGAUAUCGGGAGGAACACCGGUGGCGAAGGCGGUUCUCUGGGCCUUACCUGACGCUGAGGAGCGAAAGCGUGGGGAGCGAACAGG
rnacentral:rRNA from 1 species